rnacentral:rRNA from 1 species
UACGUAGGGUGCGAGCGUUGUCCGGAAUUAUUGGGCGUAAAGAGCUUGUAGGCGGUCUGUCGCGUCUGCUGUGAAAAUCCGGGGCUCAACCCCGGGCUUGCGGGCGAUACGGGCAGGCUAGAGUUCGGUAGGGGAGACUGGAAUUCCUGGUGUAGCGGUGAAAUGCGCAGAUAUCAGGAGGAACACCGGUGGCGAAGGCGGGUCUCUGGGCCGAUACUGACGCUGAGGAGCGAAAGCGUGGGGAGCGAACAGG